UAUGGCCACAUCAUAUUGAAACAUCGGUUUCUGUAUGAUCACCAAAGUUAAGCAUUUGAGCCUGAUCUGUACCUAGAUGGGUGACCGCUUGGGAAUAACAGGUGUUGUAAG